UUUCAUUUUUUUCCUUUUUUUUUUUUUUUUUUUUUACGCAGGGAGACUUGGGGAGUUGUUUACCAUGCAAGUCGUACGGAAAGGCCCUGCUUUUGUGGGGUGCUCGAGUGGCGAACGGAGUGAGUAACACGUGAGUAACCUGCCCUUGACUUUGGGAUAACUUCAGGAAACUGGGGCUAAUACCGGAUAGGAGGUCCCUGUUGCCAUGGUGGGGGUUGGAAAGUUUCGGCGGUUGGGGAUGGACUCGCGGCUUUUCAGCUUGUUGGUGGGGUAGUGGCUUACCAAGGCUUUGACGGGUAGCCGGCCUGAGAGGGUGACCGGCCACAUUGGGACUGAGAUACGGCCCAGAUUCCUACGGGAGGCAGCAGUGGGGAAUAUUGCACAAUGGGCGGAAGCCUGAUGCAGCAACGCCGCGUGCGGGAUGACGGCCUUCGGGUUGUAAACCGCUUUCGCCUGUGACGAAGCGUGAGUGACGGUAAUGGGUAAAGAAGCACCGGCUAACUACGUGCCAGCAGCCGCGGUGAUACGUAGGGUGCGAGCGUUGUCCGGAUUUAUUGGGCGUAAAGGGCUCGUAGGUGGUUGAUCGCGUCGGAAGUGUAAUCUUGGGGCUUAACCCUGAGCGUGCUUUCGAUACGGGUUGACUUGAGGAAGGUAGGGGAGAAUGGAAUUCCUGGUGGAGCGGUGGAAUGCGCAGAUAUCAGGAGGAACACCAGUGGCGAAGGCGGUUCUCUGGGCCUUUCCUGACGCUGAGGAGCGAAAGCGUGGGGAGCGAACAGGCUUAGAUACCCUGGUAGUCCACGCUGUAAACGGUGGGUACUAGGUGUGGGGUCCAUUCCACGGGUUCCGUGCCGUAGCUAACGCUUUAAGUACCCCGCCUGGGGAGUACGGCCGCAAGGCUAAAACUCAAAGGAAUUGACGGGGCCCCGCACAAGCGGCGGAGCAUGCGGAUUAAUUCGAUGCAACGCGUAGAACCUUACCUGGGUUUGACAUGGAUCGGGAGUGCUCAGAGAUGGGUGUGCCUCUUUUGGGGUCGGUUCCCAGGUGGUGCAUGGCUGUCGUCAGCUCCGUGUCGUGAAGAUGUUGGGUUAAGUCCCGCAACGAGCGCCAACCCUUUGUUCACUGGUUUCGCCAGCCCUUUUUGGUGGGGAACCUCUGUGGAGAACCCGCCGGGGUCAAUUCCGGAGGAAGGUGGGGAAAUGACGUCAAGUCUAUCAUUGCCCCCCUUUUGCUCCGGGGUUUCCCCGCCUUCUUACAAAGGGUGGGUGGAUACAGAGAGGUGGGGAACGCCGUGGGGGGUGGGGGUGAGCGAAAUAUUUCGGAAAGCCGGUCUCAGUUCGGAUUGGGGUCUGCAACUCGACCUCAUGAAGUCGGAGUCGCUAGUAAUCGCAGAUCAGCAACGCUGCGGUGAAUACGUUCCCGGGGCUUGUACACACCGCCCGUCAAGUCAUGAAAGUUGGUAACACCCGAAGCCGGUGGCCUAACCGUUGUGGGGAGCCGUCGAAGUUGAAACCGGAU
rnacentral:rRNA from 1 species